rnacentral:rRNA from 1 species
AGAGUGAACGCUAGCUACAGGCUUAACACAUGCAAGUCGAGGGGCGAUCAGAUCGAAAGCUUGCUUUGAUGCUGGCGACCGGCGCACGGGUGAGUAACGCGUAUCCAACCUUCCCUAUAGUAGAGAAUAGCCCGGCGAAAGUCGGAUUAAUGCUCUAUGUUGUAUUUAGAAGACAUCUGAAGAAUACCAAAGGUUUACCGCUAUAGGAUGGGGAUGCGUCUGAUUAGGUAGUAGGCGGGGUAACGGCCCACCUAGCCGACGAUCAGUAGGGGUUCUGAGAGGAAGGUCCCCCACAUUGGAACUGAGACACGGUCCAAACUCCUACGGGAGGCAGCAGUGAGGAAUAUUGGUCAAUGGACGAAAGUCUGAACCAGCCAAGUAAGCGUGCAGGAUGACGGCCCUAUGGGUUGUAAACUGCUUUUUAUAUAGGGAUAAAGUCGGGGACGUGUCCCCGUUUGUAGGUACUAUAUGAAUAAGGACCGGCUAAUUCCGUGCCAGCAGCCGC